AAGUGUUCCUUGAAAACUAAAAAAUUUAUAGCAAACAUGUACUCCAUCAUUUUGCUUGAUUAAGUAAUAGUAACACUAAUAUCCAAAUAACAAGCAUGACUGAAAUAUUUCUUGACAAGUUCAGCAGCUAUCAAACAACCGUAUAUCAUUUUGCUUAAUUGAGUAAUAAUAACACGAAUUUCACAUCACUUGAUUAUUAUUCCACAAACCAACAGAAACACUAGGCAUAUCUCUCCUAAUUCCUCAAUCAUCCAAUAGCAUGUUGAACCAGAUUUUACACCAAGAAAUAAAUAAUUCCAAGCAAAAGUGAACAAGAUUAAUAACCU
rnacentral:lncRNA from 1 species